GAGGAGUUGAUGAAAACUCUAAUCCAUUCUCUGAGCGAGAAGGAUGGCCGAAGCGGGCUCGCAUUAGAGGCAUAAGGUAGACGACAGAGUUCUUCUGAAGACUACUGCCUCGCGCUGAAACC
rfam:Caenorhabditis brenneri strain PB2801 C_brenneri-6.0.1_Cont18.18, whole genome shotgun sequence.